GAACAGAAUACAUGUUAAACCUUUGUUUUAAAUUGUAAAACGAAUAUUAUUAAUGAAGAUAAUCGAAAAAUAAAAGAGGGAUUAAUGGUCAUGUGAUCGCGAUCUAACGCGAUCACAUGGUGUCCCCUGAUGUCUGUUGGGAGGUGUAGUUGUCCUUAAACCCGGAAGAGGAGAAAGGAUUGGUAGUCACGUGAUCGCGGACUUCCGCGAUCACGUGACGCGCCGCAGUGCCCAUUGGGAAAUGAAGUGUUCAGACGGAGGUUGGCAUCUAAGAGCACGCCUCCGUCUGACGUCGGCAAAUUGGGCGGCGUGAUGCUCCGAGUUUACACGCCGCCUUCACUCUGCAAGUUGAAGGCAUGGAGCCAAAAUAUGGGGCAGAGUUAAAAACGGCAAUAGACUGUGGAUGCUAAAAAUAGUAACUGUAUAAUAGGAAAAUGCCUCUGCUAAAAAAAAA